GAUGAACGCUGGCGGCGUGCCUAAUACAUGCAAGUCGAGCGAACAGACGAGGAGCUUGCUCCUCUGACGUUAGCGGCGGACGGGUGAGUAACACGUGGAUAACCUACCUAUAAGACUGGGAUAACUUCGGGAAACCGGAGCUAAUACCGGAUAAUAUAUUGAACCGCAUGGUUCAAUAGUGAAAGACGGUUUUGCUGUCACUUAUAGAUGGAUCCGCGCCGCAUUAGCUAGUUGGUAAGGUAACGGCUUACCAAGGCAACGAUGCGUAGCCGACCUGAGAGGGUGAUCGGCCACACUGGAACUGAGACACGGUCCAGACUCCUACGGGAGGCAGCAGUAGGGAAUCUGCAGCAAUGGGCGAAAGCUUGACGGAGCAACGCCGCGUGAGUGAUGAAGGUCUUCGGAUCGUAAAACUCUGUUAUUAGGGAAGAACAAAUGUGUAAGUAACUAUGCACGUCUUGACGGUACCUAAUCAGAAAGCCACGGCUAACUACGUG
rnacentral:rRNA from 1 species